rnacentral:rRNA from 1 species
UACGGAGGAGGCAAGCAUUGUCCGGAAUUAUUGGGCGUAAAGAACACGUAGGUGGUUUUUCAAGUCAUGUGUGAAAACUUUGGGCUUAACUCAAAGAUUGCAUAUGAUACUGAUUAACUAGAGUACAGUAGAGGAAAGUGGAAUUCCUGGUGUAGCGGUGAAAUGCGCAGAUAUCAGGAAGAACACCGGUGGCGAAAGCGGCUUUCUGGACUGUUACUGACGCUGAGGUGUGAAAGCUAGGGUAGCGAACAGGAUUAGAUACCCUGGUAGUCCUAGCCGUAAACGAUGGACACUAGGUGUGGGGAGUUAUCGACGCUCUCUGUGCCGAAGCUAACGCAUUAAGUGUCCCGCCUGGGGAGUACGGUCGCAAGACUAAA